UGGAUGCCUUGGCACUAGAAGCCGAUGAAGGACGUUACUAACGACGAUAUGCUUUGGGGAGCUGUAAGUAAGCUUUGAUCCAGAGAUUUCCGAAUGGGGAAACCCAGCAUGAGUUAUGUCAUGUUAUCGAUAUGUGAAUACAUAGCAUAUCAGAAGGCACACCCGGAGAACUGAAACAUCUUAGUACCCGGAGGAAGAGAAAGAAAAUUCGAUUCCCUUAGUAGCGGCGAGCGAAACGGGAAGAGCCCAAACCAACAAGCUUGCUUGUUGGGGUUGUAGGACACUCUAUACGGAGUUACAAAAGACGACAUUAGACGAAUCAUCUGGAAAGAUGAAUCAAAGAAGGUAAUAAUCCUGUAGUCGAAAAUGUUGUCUCUCUUGAGUGGAUCCUGAGUACGACGGAGCACGUGAAAUUCCGUCGGAAUCUGGGAGGACCAUCUCCUAAGGCUAAAUACUCUCUAGUGACCGAUAGUGAACCAGUACCGUGAGGGAAAGGUGAAAAGCACCCCGGAAGGGGAGUGAAAUAGAACCUGAAACCGUGUGCUUACAAGUAGUCAGAGCCUGUUAAUGGGUGAUGGCGUGCCUUUUGUAGAAUGAACCGGCGAGUUACGAUUUGAUGCAAGGUUAAGCAGUAAAUGUGGAGCCGUAGCGAAAGCGAGUCUGAAUAGGGCGUUUAGUAUUUGGUCGUAGACCCGAAACCAGGUGAUCUACCCUUGGUCAGGUUGAAGUUCAGGUAACACUUGAAUGGAGGACCGAACCGACUUACGUUGAAAAGUGAGCGGAUGAACUGAGGGUAGCGGAGAAAUUCCAAUCGAACCUGGAGAUAGCUGGUUCUCUCCGAAAUAGCUUUAGGGCUAGCCUCAAGUGAUGAUUAUUGGAGGUAGAGCACUGUUUGGACGAGGGGGCCCCUCUCGGGGUUACCGAAUUCAGACAAACUCCGAAUGCCAAUUAAUUUAACUUGGGAGUCAGAACAUGGGUGAUAAGGUCCGUGUUCGAAAGGGAAACAGCCCAGACCACCAGCUAAGGUCCCAAAAUAUAUGUUAAGUGGAAAAGGAUGUGGCGUUGCCCAGACAACUAGGAUGUUGGCUUAGAAGCAGCCAUCAUUUAAAGAGUGCGUAAUAGCUCACUAGUCGAGUGACACUGCGCCGAAAAUGUACCGGGGCUAAACAUAUUACCGAAGCUGUGGAUUGUCCUUUGGACAAUGGUAGGAGAGCGUUCUAAGGGCGUUGAAGCAUGAUCGUAAGGACAUGUGGAGCGCUUAGAAGUGAGAAUGCCGGUGUGAGUAGCGAAAGACGGGUGAGAAUCCCGUCCACCGAUUGACUAAGGUUUCCAGAGGAAGGCUCGUCCGCUCUGGGUUAGUCGGGUCCUAAGCUGAGGCCGACAGGCGUAGGCGAUGGAUAACAGGUUGAUAUUCCUGUACCACCUAUAAUCGUUUUAAUCGAUGGGGGGACGCAGUAGGAUAGGCGAAGCGUGCGAUUGGAUUGCACGUCUAAGCAGUAAGGCUGAGUAUUAGGCAAAUCCGGUACUCAUUAAGGCUGAGCUGUGAUGGGGAGAAGACAUUGUGUCUUCGAGUCGUUGAUUUCACACUGCCGAGAAAAGCCUCUAGAUAGAAAAUAGGUGCCCGUACCGCAAACCGACACAGGUAGUCAAGAUGAGAAUUCUAAGGUGAGCGAGCGAACUCUCGUUAAGGAACUCGGCAAAAUGACCCCGUAACUUCGGGAGAAGGGGUGCUCUUUAGGGUUAACGCCCAGAAGAGCCGCAGUGAAUAGGCCCAGGCGACUGUUUAUCAAAAACACAGGUCUCUGCUAAACCGUAAGGUGAUGUAUAGGGGCUGACGCCUGCCCGGUGCUGGAAGGUUAAGAGGAGUGGUUAGCUUCUGCGAAGCUACGAAUCGAAGCCCCAGUAAACGGCGGCCGUAACUAUAACGGUCCUAAGGUAGCGAAAUUCCUUGUCGGGUAAGUUCCGACCCGCACGAAAGGCGUAACGAUUUGGGCACUGUCUCAACGAGAGACUCGGUGAAAUCAUAGUACCUGUGAAGAUGCAGGUUACCCGCGACAGGACGGAAAGACCCCGUGGAGCUUUACUGUAGCCUGAUAUUGAAAUUCGGCACAGCUUGUACAGGAUAGGUAGGAGCCUUUGAAACGUGAGCGCUAGCUUACGUGGAGGCGCUGGUGGGAUACUACCCUAGCUGUGUUGGCUUUCUAACCCGCACCACUUAUCGUGGUGGGAGACAGUGUCAGGCGGGCAGUUUGACUGGGGCGGUCGCCUCCUAAAAGGUAACGGAGGCGCUCAAAGGUUCCCUCAGAAUGGUUGGAAAUCAUUCAUAGAGUGUAAAGGCAUAAGGGAGCUUGACUGCGAGACCUACAAGUCGAGCAGGGUCGAAAGACGGACUUAGUGAUCCGGUGGUUCCGCAUGGAAGGGCCAUCGCUCAACGGAUAAAAGCUACCCCGGGGAUAACAGGCUUAUCUCCCCCAAGAGUUCACAUCGACGGGGAGGUUUGGCACCUCGAUGUCGGCUCAUCGCAUCCUGGGGCUGUAGUCGGUCCCAAGGGUUGGGCUGUUCGCCCAUUAAAGCGGUACGCGAGCUGGGUUCAGAACGUCGUGAGACAGUUCGGUCCCUAUCCGUCGUGGGCGUAGGAAAUUUGAGAGGAGCUGUCCUUAGUACGAGAGGACCGGGAUGGACAUACCUCUGGUGUACCAGUUGUCGUGCCAACGGCAUAGCUGGGUAGCUAUGUGUGGACGGGAUAAGUGCUGAAAGCAUCUAAGCAUGAAGCCCCCCUCAAGAUGAGAUUUCCCAACUUCGGUUAUAAGAUCCCUCAAAGAUGAUGAGGUUAAUAGGUUCGAGGUGGAAGCAUGGUGACAUGUGGAGCUGACGAAUACUAAUCGAUCGAAGACUUAAUCAA
rnacentral:rRNA from 1 species